rnacentral:misc_RNA from 1 species
CGCUUCCUUUGACCAGUAGCAUAAGCAUUGAUCGUUCUGUGAAAAAAAUGGACACUGCUUCCAUCUUUCUUAGCACCAGGAAGGUUUUCAGGGUGGGUAUAGCAAAUCCCUUUGUCGUCAACCAAUGUAGGAAUGAAUUCAUCUAUGAAUGCUUGCGGUUUUGAGUCUCCAACACCACAUUUAGCAGCUAAAUGUUCUAAAAUCUGUGCAUCUGAUGGAUCAAACUUUACACCAGCAGGAAGACCAGGCCAAUCAUGAGAAACAUCACUGUUAUCUAUGAAAUGAUGGCAAUUUGGGCAUUCACAAUUCGCUCCAUAGUCUUUGAUUUGAUAAGCAGAAGCUCGAGCGGGAUUUCUCACUUUCCUUGCAAUUGUUCGACUGUCGAUAAGCCAAGCCCUCGCCAUGUCUAAACAGAGACAAGCAGAGACUCGGAACUGUGCGUCUUAAGCUUUAUAAAACUCACUCCCCCUUCUCCACUGUCUAUUGCCUUGUCUCUGUCUUUGUAGUGUUGAGCGGGAAAUUAGGCGUGGCGGUGGAGGUUCGAG